UGGUGGCCCCGGCAGCGCUGUGCUGUUGGCUGGCGGAGUGCUGUUGGACCGCGGCGGCCAGCAGCUGCGCCUGCGCCUGCGCCUGCUGCAGCAGCAACUGCUGCUGGGCCGGCGUCAAGACCAUCCUGUGACCAAGGAGUGCAAUUCAACACUAAUCAGCAAAGAAUAUUAACCACGUGGCCAGCAAUAACUGCAGCCAAGGUCAGGCUCAUCAGGAGAUAGCACAUGAUGAGGGGGAGCAGUCACUCAUUUUCCCCAUUCCUGUUGUUGUUUCUCCAUACGUGAAGAUGGAAAUCUACACCCUCUGAACACUAACGUUAAAAUGCAUAAAUGGGACAGGAAACACAACCUCGCAGGGAAUAAAGAGUGGUGGUAUAAACAAAAAUGAAGGAGAACUAAGAAUAUCAUGUAGAAGAAAGAUCCUGCUGGAAGAAUAAAUGCUACAUUCAACAAACAGUUACUGUGCAUUGGUAUAUCAAGUACUGAGGUUAGAUAAAGAUGAAAACAACACAGUCCUUGCUCUUAAUUACUUCUCAGGCCUAUUAACUCAUUCCUUAAAGAAGUACUCACUGAGUACACAGAGUACCUAUGUGGCAGACACUGUUCCUGAUGCAAAGACAGAAGAGGAAAGAAGAGAGAAACCAUGUCUUCACAGAGACAUUCCAGUGUGGGGAAGAGACAAUAAGUGAAAAAUACUGAACAUCAGAGAGGAAUAAAUGUAAUGAAAUAAUCAUGAGAAAAAGGGAGAAGGAGUCUGGCGGGGGUGCACCGGUAACAACUGUGGUUUCAGUUUCAUAAAAAGACACGCACGCUACGGCAGCCGCAACAACAGAGAGGGCAGUCCACAACAGGGCACGACCAGAACAGAGACAGGACUUCAAGGGAGAAGAGAAGAGAAGAGGCCAGGCCAGGGAAAACUUCCUGGAGGCAACAUUUUGGUUGACCCUUAAGAGGAAGAGAUGGAAUUUACUGGAAAUGGUUCCCUGAAGGAGGAACACAUCAAACGUUUCCCUCCCAGAAGUAGAAGACACUAUUAACAUGAAAGUUUAACAUCCAGGAAUCAAAGGAACAAUUUUAGGUAUUCUCUCAGGAGGUCCUUGGCUUACAAAGAUAAACAAGUUAUACACCGAUACCAGGUGGCUCACAGCUAAGAAAAGUGUGACACGGAAAGAUUAGCCCGAAGUCACAUAACUGGACCUGACUCCAGAAACAACUCCCUGCACGUGGCUGUCGCUUCACUUCUGAGCUCCGAGCUCCGUGCUUGCUCAACGGUCAACUUGAGCACCGUCCAGCAGAAGUCUGUUUCCGUAAUGAUGGAAAUGUCACGCGUAUGCGCUACCCAGUCUGGAAGCCUCUCGCCACACACGGCGCCUGAGCACUAGAAGAGUGGCCAGCAGGAUGGAAGCUGGGAUUUAAUUUAACUUUAACGCUGACAGCCACAUGCAGCCAUGGCGGUCCUCCUGGACGCUGCACGGCUCCUCUUCCUCUGUCAGCCCUUUAGGGGCUGCAAAAGAGGUCUGUCUUUGGUUCUCUCCCCGGCUUGCCCCACACGCUUCCCAUGAGUGUGCUGCUGCUGAGUACCCCCACUCCAACGUCAGCACCCAGGUUUCUUCCCCCGGGGACAAAGCCCCAGCUUCAGCUGUGCACUUGCUGGCCUGCAGGCACCACCCCAUGCAACAUUCUCAGAACUUAACGCAUCAUUUCAUUGUGAAGUCUACUCGUAGCUCAGGUCGUCCCUGCUCAGAGAAUGGCACUGUAUCUAUCCCGGUCCCAAGCCAAAUACAGGCACUCGUGUCCCUUCUUGCUUCUUUUACUCCCUCUCGAUCUCCUCUCCUCCUCCCACAUAUGCUCAUUAAAUCUGACCCCUGCUUUCCACUGCCACUGCUCUGUGCCAGAGUUCCAUAUGAUGGAUCUAAUUGAAAGAGUAAUGAGUUUAGUUCUCUUGCUUCAAGUAAGAUGUAAAGUAUAACAUGGCUAGAAAAUUCUUUUAUACUUACUGGAGGGGGAAAAAAAAACCACAAAAAAUUAAUAUGUCAGGAAACAAAACUGCCCUCUAAGGGAGGAAGGAGAAAAUUAUAAAUGAUCCCAUAAUCUAUACCUGAAGGGGCCUUUUAGCAUUAAAUCCUCUUUCACUAAAUGUUCCAAAUUUCUACUGGGAAUGAAUAAAAAUGAAAUGGAUACUA